UGACAGAAGAGGGAUUUGAACCCCCGGCAUACGGAGUAUGAUUCCGUUGUUCUACCGAACUAAACUAUUCUGUC
rnacentral:tRNA from 1 species